GUUUUACGUUAAACGAUGUUUAAGAAAUCACUGCACAGAUUUUUUUUUUAAAUCUUAUUCAUACUUUCACACACGCAGAUGAUCAUUACCUAAAUAUAAUCACCAAUAGAUUGCAAGUAACCUGUCAAUGAUUUCAUCACUUAAUUUAUUAUAAAGUAAUUUUCUAAUAUUAUAUUGCCCCUUCUAUCGUUUUUCACAAAUCGAUGAGCUAGCAAACGAUCUUAGCUUUCCAAAAAGUGGCCAAGCAGAACAUCUGACCUGGACAUUAACCACCAUCGUGAGCUCUCUCCAUUUGAAAGUGUAUGCGCACAUGUUUUAAGGUGGACACGAUGUUAAGCUCCAACACAGAGUCAGUUUUCUUUGAAACAAAAAUAGGCUCAAGUCGAAUUUAAAUUCUGCUACAUUUCGGUCAGUUCUAACUGGGAUAAUAGCCUAUGCAACGUAUGAUCGCCCUGUGAUCUAUUUGUGGACAGAUCGCAUUAAUUUCCAAAUUACUUUAUACAUCCCACACACCUUUCCCUGUAGGCCUAUAUUAGAACAAACUCUCCAACGCUGUGUUUUAUGAAGUCUAAAUAAAAUUGUGACACGAUCGGAAUGCACGUAUAACAUGGCAGUUGUUUGUGACUAUCGAGUCUACGGAUCCCCCUUAAAUCUGGGCUACGUUUGGUGGGAAUUCCUUUUUGCGCGGCUGGCCAAGGGCUCCCUCCCGUAGAUCCAGCGGGUUUCCCCUCCCCCUCUCCACCUCAGCGGCUGGGUUGGGGAGGGGAGAUCCCCUUGCACGACUCGUCUCCAACCCUGCUACCUAAAGACGCCCGUGAAUUUGCGUUAAGAAGAAUGGCGCGCCUCCGGUGCUUCAAACCCUGUUGUGGAAAUGGACGACGGUGCGCCUACAGAGGAAGAUAUGCAGCACGCUUAAUUGUUCAGUUUCCUGUGGUUUUCUGAGCUCUGCAUGUAAUGACCAAUGAGGAUGUGAAAAGACUAACUGCAGAUUCUAAUGCCCCCACUUUUAAGCCCUUUACAAAUGUUUUGACAGC
ensembl:lncRNA